rnacentral:rRNA from 1 species
GUGAGGGAUGAAGCCUUCGGGUUGUAAACCUCUUUCGUCAGGGAAGNNAACAAUGACGGUACCUCCNGAAUAAGCAUCGGCUAAUUACUUGCCACCAGCCGCGGUAAUACUAAGGGGGCAAGCGUUGUUCGGAAUUAUUUNGGGCNUAAAGGGCGCGUUGGCGGUGGAUUCAAGUCGGCUGUGAAAANACCGGGUGUUAACCCCGGAAGGNCGGUGGAUACUGNNCAUCUAGAGUGCCGUAGAGGNGAGNGGGAAUUCNCCNNUGUAUCGGUGAAAUGCGUAGAUAUCCGGGGGAGCACACACNUUGGNGAAAGCAGCUCUUCUGGGCCGCNUCUGACNCUCAGGGGGCGAAAGCUAGGGGAGCGCACGGGAUUAUAUACCCCCUUAUUCCNCCCCGUAAACGAUGGAUNCUAGCCGGUGUGGGGCNUAUCCACCCG